CAGAGUCAGACAAGACCUGGCUGCAAAGAGAGCAGACGGAUGAGGUGAUGAGACCCAGAAGAUUGGAAGCAAGCCAAAUUCCCUCCUUCCUGAAUCUGAAAUUUUGAAGUUUGACUUAAGGAUGGAACUACAGUAGCUAUCUCCUGAAUCACUGCCCAGUUGCCAGCUGCAAGUCCUC